AUACCGGUGGCGAAGGCGGCCUUCUGGACAGAUACUGACGCUGAGAUGCGAAAGCGUGGGGAGCAAACAGGAUUAGAUACCCUGGUAGUCCACGCUGUAAACGAUGUCGAUUUGGAGUUUGUUGCCCUGAGUGAUGGGCUCCGAAGCUAACGCGAUAAAUCGACCGCCUGGGGAGUACGGCCGCAAGGUUAAAACUCAAAUGAAUUGACGGGGGCCCGCACAAGCGGUGGAGCAUGUGGUUUAAUUCGAUGCAACGCGAAGAACCUUACCUGGUCUUGACAUCCAUAGAAUCUUGUAGAGAUACGAGAGUGCCUUCGGGAGCUAUGAGACAGGUGCUGCAUGGCUGUCGUCAGCUCGUGUUGUGAAAUGUUGGGUUAAGUCCCGCAACGAGCGCAACCCUUAUCCUUUGUUGCCAGCGAUUCGGUCGGGAACUCAAAGGAGACUGCCGUUGAUAAAGCGGAGGAAGGUGGGGACGACGUCAAGUCAUCAUGGCCCUUACGACCAGGGCUACACACGUGCUACAAUGGCGUAUACAAAGGGAGGCGACCUCGCGAGAGCAAGCGGACCUCAUAAAGUACGUCUAAGUCCGGAUUGGAGUCUGCAACUCGACUCCAUGAAGUCGGAAUCGCUAGUAAUCGUGAAUCAGAAUGUCACGGUGAAUACGUUCCCGGGCCUUGUACACACCGCCCGUCACACCAUGGGAGUGGGUUGCACCAGAAGUAGAUAGCUUAACCUUCGGGGGGGCGUUUACCACGGUGUGGUCCAUGACUGGGGUGAAGUCGUAACAAGGUAACCGUAGGGGAACCUGCGGUUGGAUCACCUCCUUAC
rnacentral:rRNA from 1 species